rnacentral:rRNA from 1 species
CCUAACACAUGCAAGUCGAGCGGUAACAGAAAGAAAGCUUGCUUUCUUUGCUGACGAGCGGCGGACGGGUGAGUAAUGCCUGGGAAUAUGCCUUAGUNUGGGGGAUAACUAUUGGAAACGAUAGCUAAUACCGCAUAACGUCUUCGGACCAAAGAGGGGGACCUUCGGGCCUCUCGCGCUAAGAUUAGCCCAGGUGGGAUUAGCUAGUUGGUGAGGUAAAGGCUCACCAAGGCAACGAUCCCUAGCUGGUCUGAGAGGAUGAUCAGCCACACUGGAACUGAGACACGGUCCAGACUCCUACGGGAGGCAGCAGUGGGGAAUAUUGCACAAUGGGGGGAACCCUGAUGCAGCCAUGCCGCGUGUAUGAAGAAGGCCUUCGGGUUGUAAAGUACUUUCAGUCGUGAGGAAGGCAUUGUAGUUAAUAGCUGCAGUGCUUGACGUUAGCGACAGAAGAAGCACCGGCUAACUCCGUG